rnacentral:rRNA from 1 species
UGGGGAAUAUUGCACAAUGGGGGAAACCCUGAUGCAGCGACGCCGCGUGAACGAAGAAGGUAUUCGUAUCGUAAAGUUCUGUCCUAUGGGAAGAUAAUGACAGUACCAUAGAAGAAAGCUCCGGCUAAAUACGUGCCAGCAGCCGCGGUAAUACGUAUGGAGCGAGCGUUGUCCGGAAUUAUUGGGCGUAAAGGGUACGCAGGCGGUUUAAUAAGUCGAAUGUUAAAGAUCGGGGCUCAACCCCGCAAAGCAUUGGAAACUGAUAAACUUGAGUAGUGGAGAGGAAAGUGGAAUUCCUAGUGUAGUGGUGAAAUACGUAGAUAUUAGGAGGAAUACCAGUAGCGAAGGCGACUUUCUGGACACAAACUGACGCUGAGGUACGAAAGCGUGGGGAGCAUACAGG